UACGGAGGGUGCAAGGCGUUGUUCGGAUUUAUUGGGCGUAAAGCGCGUGUAGGCGGUCUUCUAAGUCUGAUGUGAAAGCCCUGGGCUCAACCCAGGAAGUGCAUUGGAUACUGGACGACUUGAAUACGGGAGAGGGUAGUGGAAUUCCUAGUGUAGGAGUGAAAUCCGUAGAUAUUGGGAAGAACACCGAUGGCGAAGGCAGCCAUCUGGACCGACACUGACGCUGAGGCGCGAAAGCGUGGGGAGCAAGCAGG
rnacentral:rRNA from 1 species